CCCUCUCUCUCUCUCUCCUCCCCGGCACUAUAUAAAUAGUACUUCGUAUCACUCACUCUAUAGUCCAAGACAGUAGCACUGCAGUCUACUCAGAAUCGAUUCUGUUGCGCACGUUGAGCUGAGAAUUGUUCUCCUAGUUGUCCCAAAACUUUUGGUCAUCGUUUGAAGAUCAUGGCCUCAACAAUCCUGAUGCACUCGGUCCCUGUGAGUCCUAGGACCGUGGUCGACAUUAGUUCCAGGAAAUCUGUUGUGAGAGGGCUCUUCCCUGCCAGCAAUAGUCCUAGAUUGUCUCCUCGAGGUGGCUUGCAUGUGAGGUGUAUGGCUAAGGAGAGCAAGCCGGAUCUGAACCCAUCCCCGAAAUUGAAAUCAAAGGUGAGCACCGGCUUUACCGAU